UCUUACUUGGCAUCACUUUAACCAUCUCCUCGAGAUCCUCGCCCACUUCCGUCGCCGGGAAACCGCUGCUGCUCCGCCCGAAACCGUCAUAGAAGUAUAAUUCCCGGCUGAUUUAUAAAGUUAUAGAAAAGAUCCCUGUCGAAAUGAGUAACGGGGAGCUACUUCAAAUCGAACCAGUAGAAAUUACAUUUACAUUCGAAUUGAAGAAGCAGAUCUCAUGCUCCUUGCAAUUGAGCAACAAAUCAGAUGACUAUGUAGCCUUCAAGGUGAAGACGACGAAUCCAAAGAAGUACUGUGUAAGGCCCAAUACUGGAAUUGUGAUGCCUCGCUCUACCUGUGAAGUCACAGUUACAAUGCAAGCACAAAAAGAGGCACCACCGGACAUGCAAUGCAAGGAUAAGUUCCUGCUUCAAAGUGUCAUAGUAAGCCCCAGAACUACGGCUAAGGAUAUAACUCCAGAAAUGUUCAACAAAGAGUCUGGGAAUCAUGUUGAAGAGGUCAAGUUGAGAGUGGCUUAUGUUCUACCUAAACCACCAUCACCUGUGCGGGAGGGGUCCGAGGAAGGUUCCUCACCUAGGGCUUCAAUAUCUGAAAAUGGUGCUGAGUUUCACAAUGCUUCAAGGACAUAUGCUGAGCCACAAGACAAUUCAUCAGAGACAAAAGCACUAAUUUUGAAGCUGUCAGAGGAGAAAAAAUCUGCGAUACAGCAAAAUAACAAGCUUCAGCAAGAAUUGGAAUUAUUGAGGCGAGAAAGCAGCAAACGUCGUGGCGGAAUCCCAUUUAUGUAUGUUAUUAUUGUUGGACUGGUAGGCCUCCUUCUUGGUUAUCUACUCAAGAAGACAUGAUGGCUAAGAGGUUACUGCUACAUUGUCAGUGCAGCCAAACUGUUUAAAAAAUUCUAGAACCUUGAAGAAAAAGGUGACUAAUCCAGUAAAGCUUUGUAUCAUUAGUUGUUUGAUUGACUUAAAAAUGUACAAGACAGGUUUUGAUCUGCUUUUGUAAUGCCUGAGCUCGAGAGUGUCAUCGUGUGACUAACUGCAUUUAACAUCCUUUGCCAACAUGUGAAGGAGACAUUUUAGUUUGCAAAUUAAGUAUACUUCCCGUUUAUGGACUUUUGUAACUGCGGCUAGUGUUUGU
rnacentral:misc_RNA from 1 species